CGAAAGCCUGACGGAGCAACGCCGCGUGAGGGAUGAAGGCCUCUGGGCUGUAAACCUCUUUUAUCAAGGAAGAAGAUCUGACGGUACUUGAUGAAUAAGCCACGGCUAACUCCGUGCCAGCAGCCGCGGUAAUACGGGAGCGGCAAGCGUUAUCCGGAAUUAUUGGGCGUAAAGCGUCCGCAGGCGGCCUUGUAAGUCUGUCGUUAAAGCGUGGAGCUUAACUCCAUUUCAGCGAUGGAAACUACAAGGCUUGAGUGUGGUAGGGGCAGAGGGAAUUCCCGGUGUAGCGGUGAAAUGCGUAGAUAUCGGGAAGAACACCAGUGGCGAAGGCGCUCUGCUGGGCCAUAACUGACGCUCAUGGACGAAAGCCAGGGGAGCG
rnacentral:rRNA from 1 species